rnacentral:lncRNA from 1 species
AAUAGAAAUGAUGUACAUUAAACUACUGUGUAUAUUAAUUAUUUCAAACACUACCAUAUAGCACUUUUAAGUGUUCUGUAAGCAAAAAAUAUAUAUAGUUGUGGUUAUCAUGCAAACCACAAGAACCCUCCAAGGUUGUAUGUAGUUUGGGAUUAUUUUGGUCCUCUUUUUGAAGUUUUCUGCGUAAUGGUUUUCCUUUGGGGAUGUUAUUACUACUGCUAUAAAUCUAGAACUUAACUAUUGAUACUUGUGUUUUGAAAACAGUGUUCACCUUUGGACAUUAUCCAUGUUUGGAGAGUGGCAUACCACUUUACCUGUGCUUAUUGUGAACACAGGAAUUUGCCCCAAAUUUCUAUCUUUUUGUAGAUGGAUUGUAGCACAAUAAUUAAUGAAUUUUCAGUGGUACCUCUCAAUAUUUUGGGAACUUUGCAAACCUAAGUAUCAGAUGUACUUUUUUUUUUAAUUGCUUAUUACCAUGUAACACAGUGUCUUCUCUUUAUGCCAAACUGGUGAACAAACAUAUAGAAUUGUUUCACUGAUGUGGAAUGUUGACUACCGGCAGUUUUAUAAGUACAAGUCAGAAAGAGGCAGGACAGAUGGCCUCUUGUACUGAACGCUUCAAGAACUUAAUUUGUCCUAGUUUUCUGACAAAGACUUGACUCUGGUUUUCAUAGAGCUUGGUUUUUACCUAUCAUAGAGCAGAUUAGAUGGUAGUGAUGCACUGGUAGAGAUGGUUUUUAGUUAUUGACUCAGAAUUCAUCUCAUGAUUGAAUCUUUUAUGUUGUUUUACUGUAUGUAUAUCUACAUUGACUUAAUAAACAUGGGUUUAGUAACUUUGUGUUAAAAUUUGGCCUGGUAACAAUAAUUUCAUUUUUACCUAUCAAGGAGUAGAAAAAUCUCCAUGUAUUGGUAUGUGUAUAUUGACGUUAUUUGGUACUCAUGUGAUAUGUGAAAUAAAAUGGAUUUUUCUACAGCUUAAUGAUUUCCCUCUGGGGAGAGUUCUGGUACAGCAAUCACACUGCCAGAUGGUGUUUAUGGGCUAUUUAUGUAAGUGGUAAGAUACUAUGAAAUAAAGGGUGCUUUCAUCAGAUGGAAACUCUUGAUGCAUGUGUUUUUGUGUGGAAUAAACUUGGGUGCAAUGUGAUGUCACUCCAUGUUGCAUUAAAUUUAAUUUCAAUUAUAUUUAUGUAGACGUAUAUCUGUCAUGCUUCUAGUUGCUUCAACCUUUGUAUCUAUAUAUUUUUUACUUAUUUUAAUAGAAAAUAUUUUAAGUGGAAAUUGAAUAAAAAUUUGAUAGUUUAAUAAAAGUCAUUGCGGUUUUUAAAAAAA